rnacentral:rRNA from 1 species
GGGCGAAGCCUGAUCCAGCCCUGCCGCGUGAAUGAUGAAGGCCUUAGGGUUGUAAAAUUCUUUCAGCAGGGAAGAUAAUGACGGUACCUGCAGAAGAAGCCCCGGCUAACUCCGUGCCAGCAGCCGCGGUAAUACGGAGGGGGCUAGCGUUGUUCGGAAUUACUGGGCGUAAAGCGCUCGUAGGCGGAUUGAUAAGUCAGAGGUGAAAGCCCAGGGCUCAACCUUGGAAUUGCCUUUGAAACUGUCAGUCUUGAGUUCAGGAGAGGUGAGCGGAAUUCCGAGUGUAGAGGUGAAAUUCGUAGAUAUUCGGAGGAACACCAGAGGCGAAGGCGGCUCACUGGACUGAUACUGACGCUGAGGAGCGAAAGCGUGGGGAGCAAACAGGAUUAGAUACCCUGGUAGUCCACGCCGUAAACUAUGAGAGCUAGUUGUCAGCAAGCAUGCUUGUUGGUGACGCAGCUAACGCAUUAAGCUCUCCGCCUGGGGAGUACGGUCGCAAGAUUAAAACU